rnacentral:rRNA from 1 species
AUUGAACGCUGGCGGCAGGCCUAACACAUGCAAGUCGAACGAGUGGCGGACGGGUGAGUAAUGUCUGGGAAAUUGCCUGAUGGAGGGGGAUAACUACUGGAAACGGUAGCUAAUACCGCAUACCAUCGGAUGUGCCCAGAUGGGAUUAGCUCGGUGGUGGGGUAAAGGCUCACCUAGGCGACGAUCCGUAGCGGGUCUGAGAGGAUGACCAGCCACACUGGAACUGAGACACGGUCCAGACUCCUACGGGAGGAAGCAGUGGAGAAUAUUGGACAAUGGGCGCAAGCCUGAUGCAGCCAUGCCGCGUGUAUGAAGAAGGCCUUCGGGUUGUAAAGUACUUUCGGCGGGGAGGCGUUACCCGCAGAAGAAGCACCGGCUAACUCCGUGCCAGCAGCCGCGGUAAUUC